rnacentral:rRNA from 1 species
CCUACGGGGGGCAGCAGUGGGGAAUAUUGGACAAUGGGGGCAACCCUGAUCCAGCCAUGCCGCGUGUGUGAAGAAGGCCCUCGGGUUGUAAAGCACUUUCAGGGAGGAAGAACGCCUGGUGGUUAAUACCCAUCAGGAAAGACAUCACUCACAGAAGAAGCACCGGCUAACUCCGUGCCAGCAGCCGCGGUAAUACGGAGGGUGCGAGCGUUAAUCGGAAUUACUGGGCGUAAAGCGCGCGUAGGUGGCUUGAUAAGCCGGUUGUGAAAGCCCCGGGCUCAACCUGGGAACGGCAUCCGGAACUGUCAAGCUAGAGUGCAGGAGAGGAAGGUAGAAUUCCCGGUGUAGCGGUGAAAUGCGUAGAGAUCGGGAGGAAUACCAGUGGCGAAGGCGGCCUUCUGGACUGACACUGACACUGAGGUGCGAAAGCGUGGGUAGCAAACAGGAUUAGAUACCCCAGUAGUC